AGUGAACGCUGGCGGUAGGCCUAACACAUGCAAGUCGAACGGCAGCACAGGAGAGCUUGCUCUCUAGGUGGCGAGUGGCGGACGGGUGAGGAAUACAUCGGAAUCUGCCCAGUCGUGGGGGAUAACGUAGGGAAACUUACGCUAAUACCGCAUACGACCUUCGGGUGAAAGAGGGGGAUCGCAAGACCUCUCGCGAUUGGAUGAGCCGAUGUCGGAUUAGCUAGUUAGCGUGGUAAUGGCCCACCAAGGCGACGAUCCGCAGCUGGUCUGAGAGGAUGAUCAGCCACACUGGAACUGAGACACGGUCCAGACUCCUACGGGAGGCAGCAGUGGGGAAUAUUGGACAAUGGGCGCAAGCCUGAUCCAGCCAUACCGCGUGGGUGAAGAAGGCCUUCGGGUUGUAAAGCCCUUUUGUUGGGAAAGAAAUCUUUCAGGCUAAUACCCUGGGAGGAUGACGGUACCCAAAGAAUAAGCACCGGCUAACUUCGUG
rnacentral:rRNA from 1 species